rnacentral:rRNA from 1 species
AUUGAACGCUGGCGGCAUGCCUUACACAUGCAAGUCGAACGGCAGCGCGGGAGCAAUCCUGGCGGCGAGUGGCGAACGGGUGAGUAAUAUAUCGGAACGUGCCCAGUAGUGGGGGAUAGCCCGGCGAAAGCCGGAUUAAUACCGCAUACGACCUACGGGUGAAAGGGGGGGAUCGCAAGACCUCUCGCUAUUGGAGCGGCCGAUAUCAGAUUAGGUAGUUGGUGGGGUAAAGGCCUACCAAGCCUGCGAUCUGUAGUUGGUCUGAGAGGACGACCAGCCCCACUGGGACUGAGACACGGCCCAGACUCCGACGGGAGGCAGCAGUGGGGAAUUUUGGACAAUGGGCGCAAGCCUGAUCCAGCAAUGCCGCGUGCAGGAAGAAGGCCUUCGGGUUGUAAACUGCUUUUGUCAGGGAAGAAAUCCUCUAGGCUAAUACCUUGGGGGGAUGACGGUACCUGAAGAAUAAGCACCGGCUAACUACGUGCCAGCCGCCGCCGUAACAC